rnacentral:rRNA from 1 species
AGUGAACGCUGGCGGUAGGCCUAACACAUGCAAGUCGAACGGCAGCACAGGAGAGCUUGCUCUCUGGGUGGCGAGUGGCGGACGGGUGAGGAAUACAUCGGAAUCUACUCUGUCGUGGGGGAUAACGUAGGGAAACUUACGCUAAUACCGCAUACGACCUACGGGUGAAAGCAGGGGACCUUCGGGCCUUGCGCGAUUGAAUGAGCCGAUGUCGGAUUAGCUAGUUGGCGGGGUAAAGGCCCACCAAGGCGACGAUCCGUAGCUGGUCUGAAAGGAUGAUCGGCCACACUGGAACUGAGACACGGUCCAGACUCCUACGGGAGGCAGCUGUGGGGAAUAUUGGACAAUGGGCGCAAGCCUGAUCCAGCCAUACCGCGUGGGUGAAGAAGGCCUUCGGGUUGUAAAGCCCUUUUGUUGGGAAAGAAAUCCAGCUGGCUAAUACCCGGUUGGGAUGACGGUACCCAAAGAAUAAGCACCGGCUAACUUCGUGCCAGCCGCCGCCGUAA